CCUGAGAAACCCAAAAGAUCGAAUGGGGAGAUUCAUCGUCAGCUCAUUUUAUAUAUAUAUAAGUUGUGAUGCGAGUUACUCUUGAGUAUUGCUUGUACAUACUUAUAUGUUUAUCUGUAAAAUGUUGUCGGCGUGCACUUCUCCCCUAGUAGAACGUCGCAACCCGUUAAGUGUCGGUCUACGACCAAAGCUGUUAGCCUUUAGUAUUUUUAAUAUUAAAGACACCUUGUGUUUUCUGACCGGCUACUUGACGGUACUCUUAUGGUAUUUAGCCGCAUUUAUUUGCGUCCAUAUCCGUCACAAGUGAGGCCAAUUUCUGGUAGUCACGGAUUUUAUGCCGUCACUGGAAUUGGCCAAUUGUUGGUUGUACGUGAUUCUAGGACUGGCUAAAACUAAUUACCGGUUAGCGAUGCUAUUGCUUUGGGUACUUUCAGGACCCGUCUUGAAACACGGACCAAGGAGUCUAACAUGUACGCAAGUCAUUGGGAUUUUUUAUGAAAGUAAAACCUAAAGGCGUAAUGAAAGUAAAAGUCGUUCCUUGUGUCGACUGAAGGAGGAUGAGCUGUGUUAAGAUACAGCUUCGCACUCCUGGGGCGUCUCAUUCUCAUUAUGAGUAGAGGCGCACCUAG
rnacentral:rRNA from 1 species